rnacentral:piRNA from 1 species
UACAAUGUUAAAAAAUUGAAA